CUUGGUCUGCUGCUGUUUUUGGUGAGGCUUUGGGUGUUAGGCCCCCCGAUUGCCCUUUGCAGGCGACGGUUGACUGCGUGUUUGUAGUUGGGGUUGGGUAUCGUUACUCUCGGCUUAUCAGCUCGUUGUGGGCCCCAUUGUGAGUUAUAAUCAGGAGCGUGGGGUCUCAUGCGAGCCUCCAAUUUCUUCCAGAAGGCAUCGAAGAUUUUAUUCAGUCGGAGUUCUGUUUCUAGCUCCACGCUGUCUGGGCCUGCAGCGUAAAGUACAUCCGCCAUUUUGAGGUCUUCUUUAUUGUUAGGCUCAGGCAUCUGCGUCUCUGUCUCCCUCUCCUCGUUCUGCUGGGGAGUUGCAUAGGGGCAGACCGGGAUGACCCCCACCGGUCCAUAGGGGGGGGAA